rnacentral:lncRNA from 1 species
ACCUCAUGAGAACGAUGGGACUCUGGGCUUCUCAGCUCACAUGCCAUAGAGCAGCAGGAGGACCCUGGUCAUGGCUCCCCCACCUCGGACCCUUGUGACAUGCUACCACCUUGUGAAGAGGUCUGUCGGAUAACACACAAGUAUUUGCAGCUUUUGUCUUCCUUUCCAUGGCCUUUGAUUCUUCGGGCAGAAUGUCCCUCCUGGAUUACAUUGUUCAAAUUUCACACAGACCUUUGCUCCUCUCUCUAAGGCUCAGCCAGAAACCAAGAAGGAUAUAUAGUCUUGGUGUCACGAAAAGCAACCCAAAAUGCGUCUAUGGCACCAACUGCCCAGGGUUCUGCUUCUGUCCCGCGGCGCCAGCGGCCCCUAGCGGAGAUGCGCGGUAUUACUGAGCACCGGUGGAUGCCCACCCCCACCCCUACACAUUCACCUGCUCACCUCCCCGCACUCCUACAAGAGAGGUACUACGCUUAUUCCUGUUUGAGAGAGAAGACCCUUGAGACGCAGGAAGGAAGCAUCUUGCCCAGUGUGGUACAGCUGGUAGGGCAGAGCCGGAACUGCCCACUCCACCGAAGCACACCCCGGAACCACAGCUGCGCCCAGGCUGAAAAAAAGACUAUCAUCAACUUUCCAAGCAACCUGGCCUUGGGAGAGCCGAUGAAGGAUACUGAAAAGCAGCAAGGGGAAAACACAACACCUUUCCUGCUCCUUCAUGUUCUAGAUUUUUUAAAAACCCUGAAAUGUGGCCCGACAAUACUUAUUAUUAACAAGAUCUCUGACAUCCUUCGCUAUAAGAAUCUGUGGUCAGCUCAAGUAGGGUUUGAAUUUGGGAGGGAGAGAGUGAGGGCACGCAUGAAUGAGAUACCUAAAAGUCAAACUCUGGUUCUGUUUAUAGUAUAG